WCGAUCGAUGGUAGCUUGCUACAGGCGACGAGUGGCGGACGGGUGAGUAAUGCAUAGGAAUCUGCCUAGUAGUGGGGGACAACCUGGGGAAACUCAGGCUAAUACCGCAUACGCCCUUCGGGGGAAAGGCCUCGGCCGCUAUUAGAUGAGCCUAUGUCUGAUUAGCUUGUUGGUGGGGUAACGGCCUACCAAGGCGACGAUCAGUAGCUGGUCUGAGAGGACGAUCAGCCACACUGGGACUGAGACACGGCCCAGACUCCUACGGGAGGCAGCAGUGGGGAAUAUUGGACAAUGGGCGAAAGCCUGAUCCAGCAAUGCCGCGUGUGUGAAGAAGGCCCGCGGGUUGUAAAGCACUUUCAGUAGGGAAGAUAAUGACGGUACCUACAGAAGAAGCACCGGCUAACUCUGUGCCAGCAGCCGCGGUAAUACAGAGGGUGCAAGCGUUAAUCGGAAUUACUGGGCGUAAAGCGCGCGUAGGCGGUUUGUUAAGCCGGAUGUGAAAGCCCCGGGCUCAACCUGGGAACUGCAUUCGAUACUGGCAGGCUAGAGUAUGGUAGAGGGAAGUGGAAUUCCGGGUGUAGCGGUGAAAUGCGUAGAUAUCCGGAGGAACAUCAGUGGCGAAGGCGGCUUCCUGGACCAAUACUGACGCU
rnacentral:rRNA from 1 species